CUGGCUACAUGAUGAAUAAAAUCAAAUCACCAUCUUUCGGCUGAGCUCGUGAUGGAUUUCCUUUUUUCUGACAAAGCCAG
ensembl:snoRNA SNORD51 small nucleolar RNA, C/D box 51